rnacentral:rRNA from 1 species
GAUGAACGCUGGCGGCGUGCCUAAUACAUGCAAGUCGAGCGAACAGACGAGGAGCUUGCUCCUCUGACGUUAGCGGCGGACGGGUGAGUAACACGUGGAUAACCUACCUAUAAGACUGGGAUAACUUCGGGAAACCGGAGCUAAUACCGGAUAAUAUAUUGAACCGCAUGGUUCAAUAGUGAAAGACGGUUUUGCUGUCACUUAUAGAUGGAUCCGCGCCGCAUUAGCUAGUUGGUAAGGUAACGGCUUACCAAGGCAACGAUGCGUAGCCGACCUGAGAGGGUGAUCCGCCACACUGGAAACGAGACAACGGCCAGACGCCUACGGGGGGCAGCAGGAGGGAAACUUCCGGAAUGGGCGAAAGGCUGAAGGGGCAACGCCGCGUGAGUGAUGAAGGUCUUCGGAUCGUUAAACUCUGUUAUUAGGGAAGAAAAAAAUGUGUAAGUAACUAUGCACGUCUUGACGGUACCUAAUCAGAAAGCCACGGCUAACUACGUG